rnacentral:rRNA from 1 species
GUUAAACGUUGGCGGCGUGCCUAACACAUGCAAGUCGAACGCGUCCUAAGGGCAACUUUAGGAUGAGUGGCGAACGGGUGAGUAUCACGUGGGUAAUCUUCCUUUAAGUGGGGAAUAAGCUCUCGAAAGGGAGUCUAAUACCGCAUGACAUUCCGGGACACAAGUCCCGUAAUCAAAGCCGCAAGGCGCUUGAAGAUGAGCCUGCGUCCUAUUAGCUAGUUGGUGGGGUAACGGCCUACCAAGGCUCAGAUGGGUAGCCGGCCUGAGAGGGUGAACGGCCACACCUGGGACUGAGACACGGCCCAGACUCCUACGGGAGGCAGCAGUGAGGAAUUUUGCGCAAUGGGGGAAACCCUGACGCAGCGACGCCGCGUGGAGGAUGAAGGCCUUCGGGUCGUAAACUCCUGUCAGAGGUGAAGAAUGCCCGCAAGGGUUUGACGGUAACCUCAGAGGAAGCCCCGGCUAACUACGUG